CGGAUGUCCACAACUGCCUAGGGGAAGCGGACUUUUAAUCCGUUGGUCGCAGGUUCGAAUCCUGCACGUCCUACCA
rnacentral:tRNA from 1 species